GGGCAAGUACCAGCACCUCAGCCUAGUCGGUGCAGGUGAUAGUUAUGAAGCUAAGUCCUAGGCCAGGAACAAGGCAGCCAGUCCAGCCAGCAUAGUUGACCCCUCUAUGGACUGGGGCCAGUGCAGCCACAGCAUUCCAGUGCUCAGCCCCUCAGCUGGGAGAUCAGCGACUGCUGCCACGUGCCCAGAAAUGGCUCGUCCUUUCACUACAGCGGAAUGCAAUGAGGGUGGGUGAGAAGAUGAUGGGUCGGUUAUUUCAUUCCUUUUCUUUUUACAACUUCACUUUCAGAGACUUCAGCGUUCCAUGUCUGCUGUGCUGUGGAACCCAGAGUGCUCUUGCCUGGAUGGCUGAGAAUCCCUUGGACCCUGGAAGCACCUACUCCAUGAUGGCCCGGUAUAGUGCAGGCUCAAUAUAAUCUUCCCGGUAUCUUGAGUUGAUAACUCGUUGCCGUUUCUUUUCUUGCUUAACCUCUUUCUCUGUGAAAAUCUCAUUGAAGCGCAUGUCUGAGGCUACUGACUAUAGAAGAAUAAGCAAGCCAAGUGUCAGCUACCCCAGGAACAAUACAAAGGGAUGCAUCCUUGACUUGUUCCCUCCCUCCAAGACAGGAACUGGGGGGACACAGAAAAUACUCACCAGUCUAGAUUUGACUCUCUUGGGAAGCUCUUCAUCCAGUGUGUAUACAUCAUCUCUCUUAACCACAAGUUGUGAGCCAUCCUCAAACUCCACCUACCAAGGAAACAAAGGCCUUUUGGCUAGGAUAUCCCUGACUCUUUCCCUGGUCCACCAUGCACAGUGGCAGUCCCCUACAGUCAAAGGAAGGAGUUAGAACACUAAAAUAACAACUACCUUACUUCACAUUUGGCAGACUGGAAACAGGGCAGACCCCUAGCUCUGAAAGGGUUACCAACCUAUUAGUUCUCCUAAGAGCAAAGACUCGCCUCUGGCCCAACAGGAAGCACAGAAUUAAUCAAGCACCCCCCACUCCCUAGAAAGGUAGAACUUUGGAUACCUGGUACAUUUGGAUAGGGUGGGAGGCCACAAACUUGGCUCCAUAGACUUGGCCGUCUGUCCAUCUCACUUGGACCACUUCCCCUUCAGCAGGAGGACCAAACUGGAGACAGUCCUGGCUCUGAGGAAACAGGAAGGAAGGAGGGUGAAAGGAACGUCCACCUGCACACAAAGGAAAGAUGAAAAAGAGUCACCUACCAUGGGACCUGGCAAAGUACUUCAGAACUUUUAUUCCUUCCAGAAGCAGGUAAGUACCCCAAGUCCUCAUCGUAUUCCCAGCAUAGGGCUUGGUAUACGGGGGGAUAUUUCAUUCAGCAUAUUGGCUGAAUGAAAGGUCUGAUAGGUAUACCUGGGAGAAGGUCCUUAGGGACAUGGCUUAAAAAAUGAGAGAGGGGCAGGGCAGUGAGUCUAAAAGGAUGUGGAUGCUCACAUCUGCUCUUACAAUCAUGCUACAGUUCAUUUAUUGAGUGGAAACAGUUCCCUACUUAUUGACAAUUCAUUUACUGAAUAGGUAAUCAGUAAAUACAUUUUGUAUCAAUCUAACAAUUAGGCAUAAACUACAGCCUCCUACACCCAAUAUCUGAGGUGUUCUAAGAUUUAACUACUCAAAUGUUUGAUAUUUGAUAAAUUGUUUAAGUUCUCUGCAAUUCAGUUCCACCUCCUAUAACAGCACUUCUGAAAAUGUGGUCUGUGAACCUCUGAGGGGUUCCUGAGACACUGUCAGGGAGCAAGUGAGACAUGGCUAUUUUUAUAAUAUUAAACUAUUAGCCUUUGUCACUGUGUUGUCAUUUACCUAGGAUAGGUACAACUGCUGGCACCUGAGCACAGAUCAAGGCACUGACCCUAAGCUCUACUAGUUGUUAUUGCAUUUUUCACCACUGUACACUCAUAAUUUAGGAGAAAAGAGCAAAAACUCUAGAUUGCAUGUAACAAUAUCCCUUGAUGAAGCAGUAAAAAAUUAUUAAUGUUGUUAAAUCUUAAUCAUUGAGUACAUGUGUUAAGUCCUCAUAAGACACUUUUGGUUGUCUCAAAGAAAUCUAUCUGUGUUGUUUGAGUUGUGAAUUACACUAGCUGCUUUGUUCAUGGAAUACCAGUUUUAUUUGAAAAAAAUUACUAGGCCAGGCAUGGUGGCUCAUGCCUGUAAUCCCUCACUUUGGGAGGCAGAGGUAGGAGGAUCGCAUCAGCCCAGGAGUUCAAGACCAGCCUGGGCAACACAGGGGAGACCCCAUCUCUACAAAACAUAAAAAAUUAUCCAGGUGUGAUGGCACACGCCUAUAGUCCCAGUUACUCGGAAGGCUGAGGACUGCUUGAGGCCGGGAGGAUGAGGCUGCAGUGAGCCAUGACCAUCCCAGCACUUUGGGAGGUUGAGGCAAAAGAAAUCGCUUGAGCCCAGGAGUUUGAGACUACCUGGGCAAGAUGGCAAGACCCCAUUUCUACAAAUAGCCAUGCAUGCCUGUAGUCCCAGCUACUCGGGAGGUGCUUGGUCAACAAAGCAAGACAUCAUCUCUUAAAACAAACAAACAAACAAAAAAAGUUGUUACUUCCAUUGAGUUUUGGUGGAUAUCAGAGAAUAAUAAACACAAUUACCUGAAAGACUAUUAAAAUACCUCCCUUGGCUGGGAGUGGUGGCUCACAGAUGUAAUCCCAGCACUUUGGGAGGCCGAGGUAGGCGGAUUGCUUGAGCCCAGUUUUGAGACCAGCCUGGGCAACAAGGCAAAACUCCAUCUCUACAAAAAAUUAAAAAAUUAGCUGGGCGCCAGUGACAAGGGCCUGUAGUCCCAGCUACUUGGGAGGCUGAGGCAGCAGAAUCACUUGAGCCUGGUAUGUGGAGGUUGCAGUGAGUUGAGAUCACUGCACUGCACUCCAACGUGGGUGACUGGAGUGAAACCCUAUUUUAAAAAAACAAAAACAAACUCCUUUUUCCAAUUACAUAUCUACGCAAGGCUGAAUUUUCUUCCUAUACUUGAACCUAAACAGUGUAUCACAAUAGAUUGAAUCAAGAAGUGACAUUAAGGCCAGCGCGGUGGCUCACGCCUGUAAUCCCACCACUUUGGGAGGCCGAGGCGGGCGGAUCACGAGAUCAGGAGAUCAAGACCAUCCUGGCUAACAUGGUGAAACCCCAUGUCUACUAAAAAUACAAAAAAUUAGCCGGGCAUGGUGGCGGGCGCCUGUAGUCCCAGCUACUCGGGAGGCUGAGGCAGGAGAAUGGCGUGAACCUGGGAGGUGAAGCCUGCAGUGAGCCAAGAUCAUGCCACCGUACUCCCGUACUCCAGCCUGGGCAACAGAGCAAGACUCCAUCUCAAAAAAAAAAAAAAAAGACAUUAAAGAGAUUUGCAAAAUUGCAGGGAAAUGGCAAUCUUUUGUUUUUGUUUUAGAAAAGUUAUUUUUAAUCUAAAAAAAUUGAUUAUUUUAAAUCAAUCUGCUUUAAUUUCUAAUAAGAAUAAAUACGUUUAGAUGUAACCCAGAGAAACACAGGCUCUUUGGGGUCUCUAACUUGUAGAAAAUGGAGUCCUGAAACCACUGUAAGUUAGAGAUAAUACCACAUCCUUCUCACAGUGGGUAUGAGAAGAUAAAGAGAUACUUGAAAUAACCACUUAGCAUAGUGCCUGGCAUACUGUACCAGCUUAAUAAAUUACAGCAAGGGCCAGGUAUGGUGGCUCAAACUCUUGUAAUCCCAGUGGUUUGGGGGCCCAAGAUGUGAGGAUCGCUUCAAGCUGCGAGAUCGAAACCAGCCUGAGCAACAAAGCAAGACCGUUGUUACUACAAAAAAUUUAAAAAUUAGCCAGGUGUGACUGCAUGUGCCUGUAGUCCCAGCUACCUGGGAAGCUGAAGCAGGAGGAUCACUUGAGUUCAGGAGUUUGAGAUUGCAGGAGCUAUGAUACAGCCACUGCACUCCAGCCUAAGUGACAGAGUGAGACCUGGUCUCUCUCAAAAAAAAAAAAAAAAAAAUAAGGCCAGGCACAGUGGCUCACGCCUGUAAUCCCACCACUUUGGGAGGCCAAGGUAGGCAGAUCACUUGAGCCCAGGAGUUUGAGACCAGCCUGGGCAACAUGGCAAAAGCCCGUCUCUACAAAAAAUUAAAAAAUUAGCCGGCUGUGGUGGUGCGUUCCUGUAGUCCCAGCUACCAGGGAGGCUGAGGUGGGAUGAUCACCUCAAUCCAGGAAGUUGAGGCUGCAGUGAGCUGAGAUUGUGCCACUGCACUCCAGCCUGGGCGUCAGAGUGAAACCCUGUCUCACAAAUAAAAUAUAAAUAAAUGAUAGCUAUGCUACUGCUAUGAGUACUACUAAUGUCGCCUUUUCUAUAAGUCUACCUUAUAACUAAUGAAUGUGCUUUUAGCAACUGAGUGGCUAAUGUGGUAUAAACAUGGGACAAUACCUGAUUUGUUAAAGGAAAAAAUGGUUUCAUUCCUCUCUACUUUGGUGGUCAGUCUACCAACUGAAAAGGCAAGGUGGGGGUAGGGGAAACCUGAACUAAGUCCUCACUACCAAGCCAGACCUAGGACUGGGUCCAUGUGGGGCCACUGUGUCUCAGGUGUUGAUAACAUAAACAGGCCAAGGGUGUCUCCAGGCAGUUUCUACUUAGCCCUAAAGCCCACUGUGAAGAGACAAAAGCAGAUUCUAUACAUCUACUAAGAGGGCCUGAUAGAAAAGAGAGUUGGAUAAUUCCCCUAAAAUCACACAGCUACUAGGCAAUGAAGCUGGUAUUGGCAUAUUUGAUUCCAAAGCCUGGGCUCUCCUAUUGCACUAGAAUGCCCUCAAGGAUAAUUUAGACGGCAACAGAUGCAGGUUUCAAGGAAUUGCAGAAAAUACUGAUUCCCAGGUACUUCUAGGGAAAAUAGGGUACCCUAGCAGCACGCAGUUUUCUUUGCAAAGAAAGACUGGUACAGAUGAUUCUUUCUGUUUGAGGACAUGGUGAUGGGACCAGGGACCUGGCUAGAAGAAGCAGGCAUACACACACAGUCUGCCAGCCAGACCUUAGAAACAUCCCCCCAUUCCAAACUGCCUGAGAAGCUCCUUGCAGAUAUUACCACUAUGUCCUCAGGAUAAAGAUUGUCGCUGAAGGAGCCAUCAUCAAAGUUGACUUCAUAGAAGGUCUCGGUGGUG
rnacentral:lncRNA from 1 species